GCCGCAAUAGCUCAGCUGGUAGAGCAUCUGUCUUGUAAACAGAAGGUCAGGGGUUCGAGCCCCCUUUGCGGCUCCC
rnacentral:tRNA from 3 species